rnacentral:rRNA from 1 species
GGGAGGCCGCAGUGAAGUGGGGGUUGCGACUGUUUACUAAAAACACAGGACUCUGCAAAGUCGUAAGACGACGUAUAGGGUCUGACGCCUGCCCGGUGCUGGAAGGUUAAGGGGAGCUGUUAGCCGCAAGGCGAAGCAGUGAACCGAAGCCCCAGUAAACGGCGGCCGUAACUAUAGGAACUGACCGCUGUAGUUACGUAAAAAAACCUGGCUAUAUGCUGGAAACUCCGGUGAAUCCUCUGGUACUCGCCCGUCUCUGAGCGGGCAGUGACAAUCCAUGAGGUGCGGACAAUCAGCAGGAAAGGCCGGUGGAAACCGGAAUCCUCAGAGACUAUACGCCAGGCGGAUCGUUCAUGGCGAUCCGAUGAGAUAGUCCGAUCUCUGCAGCGAUGUGGAGGGGAAGGCGAAAGCCUUGCCACACCGGUUCCCGAUCGAACGAAUCGGUGGUAACAGAAAUGAACGGUCCUAAGGUGGAAUCGCUGCCUUAGUAAAAUCUGGCUAUAUGCUGGAAACUCCGGUGAAUCCUCUGGUACUCGCCCGUCUCUGAGCGGGCAGUGACAAUCCAUGAGGUGCGGACAAUCAGCAGGAAAGAGCCUCGGAGAAUGCGAUGGCCUUCAAUCCAGAUCUCGUGCCACCCCGCAUCGGUUAUUACCUCUCGGGGUUCGCCGAUGGGGAGGGCAGCUUCAACGUCUGCUUUCGGAAGCGUAGAGAUCACCACCAGCCCUGGAAGGUGAGUCUUUGCUUCAAUGUUUCCCAGCGAGAAAAGGUGAUUCUUGCUCUUUUCAAGAAACAUCUUCGCUGCGGGACACUCAGAUCGAGAAGCGAUGGAAUCUGGUACUACGAGGUCAACAACCUCACGGCCAUCGUGGAACAUGUCAUUCCUUUCUUUCGACGAUUCGGUUUUCUCUCUGCAAAGAAGAAGCGCGAUUUCUCGAAGUUCCGACAAAUUGCGCAGUUGAUGCUGAGGGGAGAACAUCGAACGGAGGAAGGGAUCCGGAAGAUCCUCUCCAUCCGAAACCGGAUGAACGACGGUGGCGCCGGUCGGCGCAAAUAUACGGAUGAAGAGAUCUUGAAGGAAUUGGCUCCGAGGAGAUCCUCAGAGACUACAAGCCAGACACUCGAUGUGGUCGAGUGAAGAUAGAGUCCCAUCUGCAUGGCGACAUGCAGGGGUGGAUGCGAUGUCGUGGCAUCCGCCCGGCUCAUCUGAGAUGAGCCAAGAUCAUAUGAGCGAAAUUCCUUGUCGGGUAAGUUCCGACCUGCACGAAUGGCGUAACGACAUCCCCGCUGUCUCAACGAGGGACUCAGCGAAAUUGAAGUGGCGGUGA